UACGUAGGGGGCGAGCGUUGUCCGGAAUCAUUGGGCGUAAAGCGCGUGUAGGCGGCUCGGUAAGUCUGCUGUGAAAGUCCAGGGCUCAACCCUGGGAUGCCGGUGGAUACUGUCGAGCUCGAGUCCGGAAGAGGCGAGUGGAAUUCCUGGUGUAGCGGUGAAAUGCGCAGAUAUCAGGAGGAACACCAAUUGCGAAGGCAGCUCGCUGGGACGUUACUGACGCUGAGACGCGAAAGCGUGGGGAGCAAGCAGG
rnacentral:rRNA from 1 species